GCUUUUGUUUGUUUUUAUAGUUUAUCAAAUUUAAUAUUUAUCAUUUUCAAAUGAAGAUUGUUGCACUUUGUUCUUUGGGUGUGAUUAAGGUGGAGGAUCUUUUCAGUAUGACCGUAUAUGUUAACAAAACUUUAUUUUUGCUCUCGCACGCAUCGCGUGCAUAUAAGACUAGUGUUGAAUAACUGUACAAGUCUUGCAGUUCCCAAUUUUUCAUGUUUAAGAAAAACAAAAUAUACGAUUCAGUUAUUCAUCAAUCUCUAUCAUCUUCUUCCCUUCUCCUUCUCCCUUCCAUAAUUUCAUCUUUUUCCAUAAUUUUCUUGCACUUCUUCUACCUAUGCAUAAAAGAAACAUUGAUUGUAAGCAUGGUGUUAUGUUCUUUUGAUUGUUGAAUAAUUGUUCUGAAUUCUUAUUUCUCUUUCUUUUCCUCUUUCUACCUUUGCAUUAAAGAACAUUGAUCAAGAAAAAAUAAUACAGAAAGAGGACAAUUAUUCAACAACUAUUCAACAACUAAAAGAACAGAACACCAUGCUUAUAAAAUUGUUAGAAAUUGUCUGCUGACUUGCUGAGUGAAGUUAUUGAAGUUUUAGGUCAUAUAGACCCAUCCUUAUAAUUCUUUCUUAGCUUUGUAUGUCUGGUAUGAAUUUAAGCCAUUAACGACUUUGUUCUAUUUUUAUAAGGUUUACCGGGAAAUCAGUUGCGUGCAAGGCAAAGUAUGUUGUUCUAGCCUUGGUUUACCGGGAAAUCAGUUGCGUGCAAGGCAAAGUAUGUUGUUCUAGCCUUGAUCUUUGUAGACAGAGAGGGUGGGCAAAUUGACUGUCAAUACUAAGAUGUACUUGGGAUAUUUAUUGAAAUUGGUAUUAGAAAGAUGGAGC